UACGGGGGGGGCAAGCGUUGUUCGGAAUUACUGGGCGUAAAGGGUGCGUAGGCGGCGCGGUAAGUCGGGUGUGAAAUCUCGGAGCUUAACUCCGAAACUGCAUUCGAUACUGCCGUGCUUGAGGACUGGAGAGGAGACUGGAAUUCCUGGUGUAGCGGUGAAAUGCGCAGAUAUCAGGAGGAACACCGGUGGCGAAGGCGGGUCUCUGGGCCGAUACUGACGCUGAGGAGCGAAAGCGUGGGGAGCGAACAGG
rnacentral:rRNA from 1 species